rnacentral:tRNA from 1 species
GCUCGUGUAGCUCAGUGGUUAGAGCUUCGUGCUUAUAGUGGCAUUCGGUUGUCUCCGAAGCUUACUGUGCAUAAAGCACAGCGUGUACCCUCUGGGGUUGAAGCAACGCGACCGUCGUGGGUUCGAACCCCACCUCGAGCA